UAAAAUUAUGGACAUCAUGAGGAGAGAGAAAAGACAAGCUACCAACUGAGGAGACACACUUUCACACGCGCCCCAGAAUAAUGUGCAAGAAUGUUCACAGCAGUAUUAUGUCCAUCAACAACAGAAUGGACACAGAACUUGGUACUCCACAGUGUGAAGGUACCACAGCAGCAAUGAAGGGCAGCCACUGCAGUUACACGCCAUCAGCAUGGACUCAUCUGUCAACCCCCAACAGAAGGAAGGCACAAGAGAAUAAAUGCAGUACGAUUCCACAUGUAUAAAGUUCAAGGGCAUGCAAAGUGAAACUAUAGGCAGGCACAGGAGGGAAGCAAAUUGAGGAUGAUUAUCACAAAAAUCAGUUAAGAAAACACAAACUGCAUCAUCCAAAAAUACACCUUUGGUCACGGAUGCCACUGGAAGACAUCUGAAUUUUAGACCUCCAGAGAGAAGCUCUGGGUGGCUAGCUCCAGAGUGGAGGCAUGCUUGCUUUUCUUUACACUUGUGAAGAGGAAUGGAUCCGGACAUCUGCAAUCUGGGUAGAGGACGGCAGGCAGCAAGCUUAGCCACUCGGCCAGGCUUCUCAGCCCUUACUCUAGACAUGUGAUCCUUCCUCCACGUGAUAUACUUCACAACUUUCUUACGGCUA
rnacentral:lncRNA from 1 species